rnacentral:lncRNA from 1 species
UUUUGGCAUUAAUUUAUGUUCUUGUUCAUGGAAGUAGAGCACAGAAAUGUAUUUACCAUCUAGUUGCACAAGGCCCCCACCCAAUGCAUCAUGAACCACUUUUUGAAGUAUGAAUUUAGAAUUCGAUUCAAUGCCUACUGAUAUCACCCGACUAAUUUUCAAUUUUUUCACUUACUUUGCUUCUAUUUUCUCACUGCUUUGUUGCAGUGAUUGUAGUAGAAUUGAGCCUCAAUAAUCGAAUGAUUAAUUGGUUCUUUUUUUGAUUUCCUUUUAUUGAUAUCAUUAUAAACAUUUGUAUCCAAAACCCAUCGGUUGACCUAAAGCUGUAUAUGGUUCCUUGGUAAAUUGGACAGCUUGCAUACCGUCAGAAACUUUUUUUGAAAAAGUGAAACUUGAAAAGGUAAAUGGUGGAUUAAACCAUAAGAAUGACAAAAGGGAAACUAGAAAAUAGGAUGUUGAUGGAGUUGAUCAAACAUAUCCUUUGCCUAGACUUGCUACCAAAUAUUCAAUAAUUUUUAGUGUUAGAUAAUUCUCUAGAAGUAGUCCCCCAAUCAUAUUCUUUUUAAUCGUGAUUUACUUUCAUAAUUUGCUAGGAUUAUGAUUAUAUAAAUCAGAGCUAUGCUAUAGGUUUCAAGAACAUAUUAAAUACAACAAAUACAUUGUAACACAUCAUUAUUUGGUCUCAUCAUGAGAUUAGAGUGGCACCAUUCUUCAUGAUCCGUCCUGUCACUACUUUGCUACUGAGCACCCUAAAAUUUGGAGUUAUAUUUUAAGUUCAUGAUUAUCCUUGUAAAUUAAUUGUCUUUUAUGUUAUGUUAACCCUUUUAGGUCUUUUUUCGUUUUAACACCCUUGCACUAUGCUAUUCCUUCCUGCUGGUCCAGGCUUCUUCUGUUUGUAUUUUUCAUUCUGGUGGUCUCCUUCUCCAUCCUAGCUUUCAGCAUGCAUUUUAUCAACAUGUUUCAAGAAUUUUUCUGACUACUGUGUGCUCCUUCUGGUAGUUCUUGACAAUCUAUUUCAUUGGUUUCUUCCAUCACUGUGACAUCAUGGGCAUGCACUAACACCCAUGUUUCUCUUCAGACUUUUUCAUCCUCCACUCGUUUUUUCAGAGUUUUGGUUCUUAUUCUGUUAAUCUCUUUUAUUGAUUUCUACUACUGUGAUAUCUCCCGGAUGAUAUCCCCUUUUGUCUUUGGAUCUUGUCUCUCCUCACAUGAACUCUUUUUCUGAUGUGUUUCAAUUAAUCUCCAGUCGUCUUUGCCAAUCCUGCACAGUCAUGUCUGAUUCACCCAAGUUCAAACUUCAAUCUUUUCAGUAAUUUUUGUCAUUGUUUGGUGCAACUUCAAAUGCAUCAAGGACCACUUUUUAAAGUACGAAUUAUUAAUGCCUAGAGAUAUUAACUAAUUUUUGGCAUUUACUCCAGUGAUAUAAAAUAUGAUGUAAUUGUUGGGAAUGCAUUGUAAAUUGUUGAGCAUGCUCACAUCUAGUGGUGCGUAGUAUUCAUUCAUUAUUUAGUGCUAGUUCAAUUUCUUGGUACAUGAUUUUACUUCUUAGGCUUCUUCUUGUUGCAAACAUCAAAUCAGAAAACUAGACAAUAAAAUUCUUAACUAAGUGUAUUUUUUAUGGGCUGUUACAAUAAUUGGGAUGCUAUACCUGCUCAACACGGUGAUCUACAUCAGUGUUUCCAUUUGUGUCUAUGUGAUGUUUUCCUCAUUAUGUUAGAUUGUAUUGAGUUUAAGCUUAGAACCAGAUGGAUAUAAUGUCCAUUAUUCACUACCAGUUCCUGUGUUUUUUUGGAAUGGAAGUAGAGCAUUAUGUUGUACUCUAUCACCUUGCCUCAUAAUAUUGUUAUUGCAUCAUUCUGGCUCCAGUUGUAUCUGGAAUCUGGAUCAAACUAAUUCAAACAAAACUGACAUCUUUAGUUGUAGUAGAUAAGGAGGACGCCUGUGUAUUUUGAAACCCUGCACUGCAGUAAUGUCCAUCCAUGUUAAGGGUCCAUUUGGUUCAAGAAAACUAAUUUUGUUUUCAUUUUCUAUUUUCCCUAUAUUUCUUGUUUCAAAAGUUUGAAUAUGAAAAUGUGAAAACAAAUUAUCAAAACAAGAAAGAAUAGAAAGUUAUUUUUACUCUCCUAUGUAAACUUUUGAAAAUAGAAAACACAAUAAAACUAGGUGACAUUUUUCUAAUUAAAUGUGAUAACAGAAUACAUUUUCUCAAACCAAAUGGUCCGUGGUGUUCGAACUGAGCCACACCUUGGGGUUUGAUAUAUUUGAAACAUGUCCAUUCUAUGCAUCUAUCUCAAUCAUUGAUACCUGCAUGUUACUUAUUAAGACCUGAAAGAUUUCAUGUUAAUGAGGAAUUAACUUAUANUAGUUAAAGCACAAAGGAUGUGAUGAUAACAUAAAAAAUACGGGCAGAAACUGUGUUCAUUCACCUUCUUGUCUUCUGUUGAACUUUGAAGUAGUACUCAAUGACUAUGACAAAACUUCUGACAGUAAUAGCAAGAAGGGUCAAUCUUUACUGAAUAAUAGGGAAGAUCUCCCUUUGUGAAUGAUACACGGUCCAGAUAUGUUGAGAGGUGUCCUUUUGUGAAUGAUACACUCCAGAUAUUUUGAUAGGUCUUUGGACCACUCUUCAUAAUUUUAUAAUUCUGAAAACGUUCCCUCACAGCAUCCCAUCCCAAAGCUUUUCACCUUGUGCUUAUGGGGAAAUUAGAGGAGUUGUUUUGAGAGGAAGAAUCUGUGGUAUUUUGUUUAUAGAAGAAAAAUAGUAACAUAGACUAAGAAGUUACUAAUUAUAUUAAAAGGUUCUAAAUAAAAAGCAUAAAUCAUAUCAGAUUACAAUCCAUUAAGCAUAACAACAUUAAUUGAAAUUAAAAACAGAACAAAGACAGUCUAACAUAAGCAACUUAAAAAGAUUCUUAAUCUUAAAAUGCUUAGUUGUUCCAUGAAAAACUGGAUUUUAAGAAAGUUGAAUUUAAGUCUAACUCAAUCUCACAAAACUAGCUUGUAAGAUAAGGUUUGUACCUACUUAUAUACUAUAAUUUGGUCUUAUCUCAAGUGAGAUCUCAAACACAUUUUCCCAUACCGGGAAACAAUCAUCUUGACCAUGGAAAUAGAUAUUUGUGGGUGUUGCGAGACCAACUAACUUGAUAAGGAUAAGUUCUGCAUGACCCUAAUACCAUUUUAAGAUAAAAUAAUUUAAACUGGUUUUGUGAGUUUGAGUUAUACUUUGUUGGAGAUCCCACAUUUACUGGAGAUAAAAUGGAUUUACGGAAUAUAAGUGGAUUCAAACUUCAUUUUACAAGUUGGUUUUAUAAGGUUGAGUUAGACUUAAAGUUCAUUUUUAAGAUGCUAUUAGAAACAUCUGAAGCCUAUCCUAGCGAAGUUUGUUGGCCUAUCGUGCCACCCUCUAUUGGGCUGUUACUUAUUAAGACCUGAAAGAUUUCAUGUUAAUGAGGAAUUAACUUAUANUAGUUAAAGCACAAAGGAUGUGAUGAUAACAUAAAAAAUACGGGCAGAAACUGUGUUCAUUCACCUUCUUGUCUUCUGUUGAACUUUGAAGUAGUACUCAAACCACUUAUUAAUGUCUAAUCCCAUGCUUGAGAUGUAAAUGCCAUGACGUGAGCGGUUUGAGUUGGAGAUCCUGCACAAACUAGAGAUAAGGUGAAUUUCCAAUAUAUAAGUGGGUGCAAACCUCACCUUACAAGCC